rfam:Eutrema salsugineum unplaced genomic scaffold scaffold_6, whole genome shotgun sequence.
AAACGACGAUGGGGACAUUGGUUUGUAUAGCUUCUAAAACUCUUUCAUGCUUCCCCAAAGCUUUCAUUGUUGUACUGGGUAAAGUUUGAGAUCUGGUUCCUCAACUU